GACAGAGGAUGCAAGCGUUAUCCGGAAUGAUUGGGCGUAAAGCGUCUGUAGGUGGCUUUUCAAGUCCGCCGUCAAAUCCCAGGGCUCAACCCUGGACAGGCGGUGGAAACUGCCAAGCUGGAGUACGGUAGGGGCAGAGGGAAUUUCCGGUGGAGCGGUGAAAUGCGUAGAUAUCGAGAGGAACACCUGCGGCGAAGGCGGGUAGCUGGGCCGACACUGACGCUGAGGCGCGAAAGCCAGGGGAGCGAACGGG
rnacentral:rRNA from 1 species